rnacentral:tRNA from 1 species
ACCUGGCUGGCUCAGUUGAUGGAGCAAGUGAUUCUUGAUCUCGGGGCUGUGGGUUCGAGGCCCUUGUUGGGUG